UAGAAUUCUCCAGCACCAUGUCUGCCUGCAUGCCACCAUACUCCCAGCUUCCAUGCUCCCCAUCGUGAUGAUACUGGACUGAAACUGAAACCUCUCAAACUUUUUUUUCCUCAGGUAUCUUGAUCACAAUCACCCGAAAGCAGCUGACACAGGAACCCCAUGAUGUCCCCAGAGGCUAUCACCAGUAUAACAUGCAAGAGGAGAGUGAAGGAGGAAGACAGACCUACUGACAUCUAGUAAAUGCAGGACAGAUACUGUUGAACAUCUGGGAACACAUGGAACAUGGAGCGAUGACCUAAUCAAUAAAGGCACUUGCUGCCAAACUGGAUGACCCACACAGUGGCAGGAGGGAAACUGACUCCCUUGAGUUGUCCUCUGGCUUCCACUCAAGUG